AUACGGGAGGCAGCAGUAAGGAAUAUUGGUCAAUGGGCGCAAGCCUGAACCAGCCAUGCCGCGUGAAGGAUGACGGCCCUAUGGGUUGUAAACUUCUUUUGUACGGGAAAAAACCACCGGUCGUGUAUCGGUGCUGAUGGUACCGUAAGAAUAAGCAUCGGCUAACUCCGUGCCAGCAGCCGCGGUAAUACGGAGGAUGCAAGCGUUAUCCGGAUUCAUUGGGUUUAAAGGGUGCGCAGGCGGAGUGAUAAGUCAGUGGUGAAAGCCUACAGCUUAACUGUAGAACUGCCAUUGAUACUGUCAUUCUUGAGUAUUGUUGAGGUAGGCGGAAUGUGUCAUGUAGCGGUGAAAUGCUUAGAUAUGACACAGAACACCGAUCGCGAAGGCAGCUUACCAAGCAAUAACUGACGCUCAUGCACGAAAGCGUGGGGAUCAAACAGGAUUAGAUACCCUGGU
rnacentral:rRNA from 1 species